GGUAACUUGGCCGAGUGGUUAUGGCGCUAGUUUCAGGAGCUGUAAACAGUAUCUACUAGUUCGAAAGAGCGAGGGUUCGAAUCCCUCAGUUAUCA
rnacentral:tRNA from 1 species